AAAGGAAUAGCCUCGGGAAACCGGGAUUAAAACCAUAUAACACUUUAGUGCCGCAUGGUAAUAAAGUCAAAUCGAGUAAGAGGUAUGGGAUGAGUUCGCGUCUGAUUAGCUAGUUGGUGAGGUAAGGGCUCACCAAGGCGACGAUCAGUAGCCGGCCUGAGAGGGUGAACGGCCACACUGGAACUGAGACACGGUCCAGACUCCUACGGGAGGCAGCAGUGGGGAAUAUUGGGCAAUGGGGGAAACCCUGACCCAGCAACGCCGCGUGAGGGAAGAAGGUUUUCGGAUUGUAAACCUCUGUCCUUGGUGAAGAGAAGAAGACGGUAGCCAAGGAGGAAGCCCCGGCUAACUACGUGCCAGCAGCCGCGGUAAUACGUAGGGGGCGAGCGUUGUCCGGAUUUACUGGGCGUAAAGGGUGAGUAGGCGGUUAUAUAUGUCAGGUGUAAAAAGCUAUGGCUUAACCAUAGUAAGCACUUGAAACUGUAUGACUUGAGUGCAGGAGAGGUAAGCGGAAUUCCUAGUGUAGCGGUGAAAUGCGUAGAUAUUAGGAGGAACACCGGUGGCGAAGGCGGCUUACUGGACUGUAACUGACGCUGAGUCACGAAAGCGUGGGUAGCAAACAGGAUUAGAUACCCUGGUAGUCCACGCUGUAAACGAUGAGUGCUAGGUGUUGGGUAGCGAUAUUCAGUGCCGGAGUAAACACAAUAAGCACUCCGCCUGGGGAGUACGGUCGCAAGACUGAAACUCAAAGGAAUUGACGGGGACCCGCACAAGCAGCGGAGCAUGUGGUUUAAUUCGAAGCAACGCGAAGAACCUUACCAAGGCUUGACAUCCCCUUGACAGAUGCAGAGAUGUAUCCUCCCCUUCGGGGGCAAGGGAGACAGGUGGUGCAUGGUUGUCGUCAGCUCGUGUCGUGAGAUGUUGGGU
rnacentral:rRNA from 1 species